CAAAUAUCUGCUGGGGGCAGGGAGCUGCUCUUUCUUCACUCUCCAUUAAACAACACAGCUGAAGGAUGAGCAGAUACUUUUGAUCCUUUCAUCACAACUACAGAAGGCCUUUUCACGAGGGACAUUAUUUCAAUGGUAUCAAACUAGUGGAGUGCUAGAUGCAAGAGAGAGAGCUGAAAGAAACACUGAAGAAUGGAAGACAGGAUGGUGGAAGUUAAAAGGUAGAGAGGACACAACUGUCUCCUGUAAAAAGCCAAACAGAAGACUCAGCACAAUAAGUAACUGAAACAUAUGUAUGCCAACUGGACCCAUCAAUUGCCUUGAGUGAGAACCAGGAACUUCCAAGAUCUACCAGGUUCCCCAAUUUUUUUUUUCUGAUAAUACACGAGGGGACAAAUAAUACUGCAAAGAAUGGCUCUGAAAACUUUGGAACAAAACUCUGGGAGAUGAGGUGGUAUUCUCAUCUAUUUUUCUAGUUCAUGGAAAAAAGAUUAAAAAGAGAAAGAAAGAUA